rnacentral:lncRNA from 1 species
AAGCUGAUUUUGUAAUCCCAACAGUUUGAGAGGCCGAGAUGGGUAGAUCACCUGAGGUCAGGAGUUCAAGGCCAGCCUGGCCAACAUGGUGAAACCCCAUCUCUACUAAAAAUACAAAAAUUAGCUGGGCGUGGUGGUGCACGCUUGUAAUCCCAGCUACUUGGGAGGCUGAGACAGGAGAAUUGCUUGAGCCGGGGGAGCAGAGAUUGGGGUGAGCCAAGAUCUCACCACUGCACUCCAGUCAGCCAACAGGGUGAGACCUUGUCUCAAAAAAAGGAAA